UGUGACGGCGUGCCUUUUGCAUAAUGAACCUACGAGUUACUUUUUCCGGCAAGGUUAAGCAUCUUGAGAUGUGGAUCCGAAGCGAAAGCGAGUCUGAACAGGGCGGAUAGUCGGAAGGAGUAGACGCGAAACCAAGUGAUCUACCCUUGGGCAGGUUGAAGGUUAGGUAACACUAACUGGAGGACCGAACCGAUAAGCGUUGAAAAGCUUCCGGAUGACCUGAGGGUGGGGGUGAAAGGCUAAUCAAACUUGGAGAUAGCUCGUACUCCCCGAAAUGCAUUUAGGUGCAGCCUUGAGAAUUACUAAUGUGAGGUAGAGCGACUGAUAAGAUGCGAGGGCUUCACCGCCUAUCAAGUCUUGAUAAACUCCGAAUGCGCAUUAGUUCGAUCUCAGGAGUGAGGGCAUGGGUGCUAAGGUCCAUGUCCUAAAGGAGAAGAAUCCAGACCAUCAGCUAAGGUCCCCAAAUAAACACUAAGUUGAACUAACGAAGUCAGAUUGCUAAGACAGCUAGGAUGUUGGCUUGGAAGCAGCCAUUCAUUUAAAGAGUGCGUAACAGCUCACUAGUCGAGGAGUUUGGCGUGGAUAAUAAUCGGGCAUCAAGUGUUUUACCGAAGCUAUGGGAUACGUAAGUAUCGGUAGGGGAGCAUUCCACUCUGCGUUGAAGGCUAAGCGUGAGCUUUACUGGAGCGUGUGGAAAAGCAAAUGUAGGUAUAAGUAACGAUAAAGGGGGUGAGAAACCCCCUCGCCGCAAGACUAAGGUUUCCUGAUCAACGCUAAUCGGAUCAGGGUUAGUCGGGUCCUAAGGCUCAGCCGAACGGUGAUGCCGAUGGCAGAACAGGUUAAUAUUCCUGUACUAGCAUUAAGAGUGACGUGGAGACGGAGGAGUGACAACGCCGCGGACUGACGGAAUAGUCCGUUAAAGGGUGUAGAUGUUGAUUAUCCCAGGCAAAUCCGGGAUAAGAGUCGAACCUGACAGUAUACCAAUUUCCUCGGAAAACGGUAAUAGUGCGUGUAAACAUACUCCCAAGAAAAUCCGCUAAACUUAAUCUUAAUGGUACCCGUACCGCAAACGGACACACGUAGUCGGGUUGAAUAUACUCAGGCGCUUGAGUGAAUCACGGUUAAGGAACUAGGCAAAUUGACCCUGUAACUUCGGGAUAAAGGGUCCCUACCCGGUGACGGGAGGGCGCAGAGAAUAGGUCCAGGCAACUGUUUAACAAAAACACAGGGCUGUGCAAAAUUGAAAGAUCACGUAUACAGCCUGACACCUGCCCGGUGCUGGAAGGUUAAGAGGAGAUGUCAUCGCAAGAGAAGCAUUGAAUUGAAGCCCCAGUAAACGGCGGCCGUAACUAUAACGGUCCUAAGGUAGCGAAAUUCCUUGUCGGGUAAGUUCCGACCUGCACGAAUGGUGUAAUGAUCUGGACACUGUCUCAACCGUGAGCUCAGUGAAAUUGUAGUAUCGGUGAAGAUGCCGAUUACCCGCGAUGGGACGAAAAGACCCCGUGAACCUUUACUAUAGCUUAACAUUGAAUUUGGGUAAUUGAUGUGUAGGAUAGGCCGGAGACUUUGAAGCAGGUACGCCAGUAUUUGUGGAGUCGCUGUUGAAAUACGGCCCUUUGAUUAUUUGAGUUCUAACUCGCAGUUGCGAGGACACUGUUUGGUGGGUAGUUUGACUGGGGUGGUCGCCUCCAAAAGUGUAACGGAGGCUUCUAAAGGUGCCCUCACGCCGAUUGGUAACCGGCG
rnacentral:rRNA from 1 species